GAGUAACACGUGGGUAACCUACCCUCCGGCGGGGGACAACAAUCCGAAAGGGUUGCUAAUACCGCAUGCGUCGUCGAGAUCUGCGGAUCUCGACGGGAAAGCUGGCUUCGGCUGGCACCGGAGGAGGGGCCCGCGGCGCAUCAGCUUGAUGGUGGGGUAACGGCCUACCAUGGCAAAGACGCGUAGCUGGUCUGAGAGGAUGAUCAGCCACACUGGGACUGAGACACGGCCCAGACUCCUACGGGAGGCAGCAGUGGGGAAUAUUGGACAAUGGGCGAAAGCCUGAUCCAGCCAUGCCGCGUGAGUGAUGAAGGCCCUCGGGUCGUAAAGCUCUGUGGGGAGAGACGAAACCCUCGUAGUUAAUACCUGCGAGAUUGACGGUAUCUCCUUAGCAAGCACCGGCUAACUCCGUGCCAGCAGCCGCUGUAAUACGGAGGGUGCAAACGUUGCUCGGAAUUAUUGGGCGUAAAGCGCGCGUAGGCGGCCCGCUAAGUCGGACGUGAAAGCCCUCGGCUUAACCGAGGAAGUGCGUUCGAAACUGGCGGACUUGAGUACGGGAGAGGGUCGCGGAAUUCCCGGUGUAGAGGUGAAAUUCGUAGAUAUCGGGAGGAACACCAGUGGCGAAGGCGGCGGCCUGGAC
rnacentral:rRNA from 1 species